rnacentral:lncRNA from 1 species
GGAUACAAUGGAGCAUUGUGCCAGAAGUGUCUGAAGCUGUGGAACCUGCGAAGGAAGAUCUGACCGUGUCCGAGAAGUUCCAGCUGGUGCUGGAUGUCGCCCAGAAAGCACAGGUGCCACCUCUGAGCUUGCCCAUUACCCUGGGAGGGAGGACCCCUGCUACAGAGGCUUUGCAUGCCUGCUGUGGGUUGACCUGCCUCUUCUAGUCGAUCUCUCUCACUCUGGUGAGAGAUACAUGGCUUCCUGAUGAAUCUCUGGCCUUAUGUGGACAGAGCCCUUCACCACCAGGGCUGAGCACCCCAAGAAUUCAGGGCUGAGCAUCCCCAGAAAGUCAGAGCCCGACAUCGUCUGCCUUCUUCAUUACAUCCAGUGAGCUUAGCCCUAGCCCCGACAACCUCAG